ensembl:snRNA U5 U5 spliceosomal RNA
AUACUCUGGUUUCUCUUCAGAUCGUAUAAAUAUGCCUUUUAUUAAAUAUUUCUGUGGAGAUGAACAAUUCUGAGUCUUUAAACAAUGUUUUGUGGCCUUGGCAUCUCUAAUGCU